GGGAGGAGCUUAGAAGAAGAAAAAAAGCUGAAAAGAAGAAACUAGAGAAGAUCAAAGAGGAAAAGAAAGAAGUUGAGCAGAAAGAAGAAAAGAAAGAAGUUGAACAGAAAGAAGAAAAGAAGACAAAAGAGGUAAAGAUGGAAGCGAAGAAACAGGAUCUCUGGCCGCUUACUUCUUUGUGGGAAAAGUACAAAACAGAGGGAAAACCGAAGAAAAAACAGGAGGAGAGGAUAUGUGAGCACAAGCAAGAUUACGACAGAAAUGUAACGGAAAGAAAGAAAGUGACGCCGGAUUAGCCGCUGUCGAUGAUACAGUACCAUUUAAUAUUAAUAGAGAGAGAUUACAAUAAAUUAUAAAUUAUAUUAUUUUUAAAAUUAGGCUGAUAUCAUGUAAGGAUGGUAAGAAAUGUGUUUUUAUUGAUGUAUAA
rnacentral:lncRNA from 1 species